ACCCUGGCUUGGUGUGGUGAGCCAUGCUGUGCUGUCACGGAGAGAAGGAAGAACGAGGACGAUGGCAGCCUUGUCUGUUGGUGGCUGCUGACCUGCCUGCCUCUCUUGGCCUCAUUGUGACUCACAACCAGAGGCCAGGCUCAUGCCCUUGGAUUUUCAGUCACCAGAAUUGAUUUUGGGCACACACCAAGCUGCUGGGUCCAG